UACAUGGGGUGCAAACGUUGCUCGGAAUUAUUGGGCGUAAAGCGCACGUAGGCGGUUUGUUAAGUCGAAUGUGAAAUCCCUCGGCUCAACUGAGGAAGUGCAUCCGAAACUGGCAAGCUUGAGUACGAAAGAGGGUCGCGGAAUUCCCGGUGUAGAGGUGAAAUUCGUAGAUAUCGGGAGGAACACCGGUGGCGAAGGCGGCGACCUGGGUCGAUACUGACGCUGAGGUGCGAAAGCGUGGGGAGCAAACAGG
rnacentral:rRNA from 1 species